GGAGAAACAGAAACCUCUAAGUUCACUUUGUGAAAUGGGAUUCUCACCUUUGCAACAUGGCUCUGGAGACUUGCUCUUCACAAUGACAGUUGCAAGAGAAAAAAAUUACCCAAUGACACUCGGUAAAGCAUGAGAACUUUCAGAAAGGCACCAUCGGUCUUGAGCUGGAAGCCCGCCUUUUAGGUUUUGAAGAGAGAAGAGGUGGAGGAGGAUGUGUGCUCCAUGAAGACGUGUUCACAGACUCUAACUUGCUAUGGAGUGGCCAGAGGGCUCGACGAAGAUGCCAACUGCCUUCAGAUGUCUCCAGCUCCUAUCACGGCUGUGUGAAGCUAUAGGCUGUGGUAAAGACCAACCAGGGGAGAACAAGCAAAGGCCAUUUAUUCAGAGGCUGCUGUAUCAGGGGAGUCAGCCACCCACACAUGUCUUAUGGAAAGCUGCUUCUGCCCCAACCCUGUUUUAGCUAGUCUUCAGUUUAAUCUGAUAUCCGGUACCACCUCCUACCCCAUUUCUACCCAUCUUAGGUUCAUUGGCUGGGACGCCUGUGACAAAAGACAGAUUAACAAGAGAAAGGUACACAAAUUUAUUUAAUAUGUGUUAUGUGACACAGGAGCCUUCAAAAGGAAAUGAAGUUCUGAAGAAACAGCUAAACCUGAAUGGUUUUUGUCGUAGAUUUGAGAAGAAUGAAGCAUUGUGGGAAAAUAUGACAAAGUAAAGAAAAAGAAUGAGAGAAAUGUAAUAAAUCGGG
rnacentral:lncRNA from 1 species